GGGGCCGUGGUCUAGCCUGGCUAUGAUGGGCGGCUUGGGCCACCCAGGCCCCGGGUUCAAAUCCCGGCGGCCCCACCA
rnacentral:tRNA from 1 species